CCUACGGGUGGCAGCAGUGAGGAAUAUUGGUCAAUGGGCGAGAGUCUGAACCAGCCAAGUAGCGUGAAGGAUGACUGCCCUAUGGGUUGUAAACUUCUUUUAUAAGGGAAUAAAACGAGGCACGUGUGCCUUUCUGCAUGUACUUUAUGAAUAAGGAUCGGCUAACUCCGUGCCAGCAGCCGCGGUAAUACGGAGGAUCCGAGCGUUAUCCGGAUUUAUUGGGUUUAAAGGGAGCGUAGAUGGGUAGUUAAGUCAGUUGUGAAAUUUUGCGGCUCAACCUUAAAAGUGCAAUUGAUACUGGCAGUCUUGAGUACAGUAGAGGUAAGCGGAAUGCGUGGUGUAGCGGUGAAAUGCUUAGAUAUCACGAAGAACCCCGAUUGCGAAGGCAGCUUACUAAACUGUGACUGACAUUGAUGCUCGAAAGUGUGGGUAUCAAACAGGAUUAGAUACCCUUGUAGUC
rnacentral:rRNA from 1 species